rnacentral:rRNA from 1 species
CGUGUAGGCGGUCAGGUUAGUGGGACGUGAAAUGCCCCGGCUCACCCGGGGACCUGCGUCCCAAACUGCCUGGCUUGAGUAUGGGAGAGGAUGAGGGAAUUCCUGGUGUAGCGGUGAAAUGCGUAGAUAUCUGGAGGAACACCGGUGGCGAAGGCGACAUCCUGGACCAAUACUGACGCUGAGUGAGCGAAAGCAGGGGAGACGAAACG